CGGGGGGAGCAAGCGUUGUUCGGAUUUACUGGGCGUAAAGGGCGCGUAGGCGGCGCGACAAGUCACUUGUGAAAUCUCUGGGCUCAACCCAGAACGGUCAAGUGAUACUGUCGUGCUAGAGUGCGGAAGGGGCAACUGGAAUUCUUGGUGUAGUGGUGAAAUGCGUAGAUAUCAAGAGGAACACCUGCGGCGAAGGCGGGUUGCUGGGCCGACACUGACGCUGAGGCGCGAAAGCUAGGGGAGCGAACGGGAUUAGAUACCCCGGUAGUCCUAGCCUUAAACGAUGAAUGCUUGGUGUCCGGGGUUAGAUAGUCCCCGGGUGCCGUCGCUAACGCUUUAAGCAUUCCGCCUGGGGAGUACGUGCGCAAGCAUG
rnacentral:rRNA from 1 species